AGGUGUGGAAGAACACAUAAAUUCCUAUUAUCCCUGAUGAUUCUGAACAGCACCACCCACGGAGAAUGAGCUGCAGCCAGAAAUUUCCCCCUACUUCAUCCAGGACCAGGAAGUUGUGGGUUUCUGCAGGCAAGAGGACCUGCCCAGGGCCACGCAGCUGGAGAAGGGAGUCAGAGCUGAAGCUGCCCCUCCAUUUCCCUCUCGGCUUCCCACCCUGAGCUGUGUGAUCCUGCGCACACAGUCCACCAUUCUGCUUCUUCCACCAUCAUCCAUUUUGUGUCAAGAGGAAAUGGUUCCAACAAAGAGUAAGUGAGAGAGCAAAAGUCUGGAACAUGGGAGACUUUGGGGGCAAAAAGGGUCAUGGUGGUGAAC
rnacentral:lncRNA from 1 species